AACGAACGCUGGCGGCAUGCCUAACACAUGCAAGUCGAACGAGACCUUCGGGUCUAGUGGCGCACGGGUGCGUAACGCGUGGGAACCUGCCCUUAGGUUCGGAAUAACUCCCCGACAGGGGUGCUAAUACCGGAUAAUGUCUUCGGACCAAAGAUUUAUCGACUUUGGAUGGGCCCGCGUUGGAUUAGCUAGUUGGUAGGGUAAAAGCCUACCAAGGCGACGAUCCAUAGCUGGUCUGAGAGGAUGAUCAGCCACACUGGGACUGAGAAACGGCCCAGACUCCUACGGGAGGCAGCAGUGGGGAAUAUUGCACAAUGGGCGAAAGCAUGAUCCAGCAAUGCCGCGUGAGUGAUGAAGGCCUUAGGGUUGUAAAGCUCUUUUACCCGGGAUGAUAAUGACGGUACCGGGAGAAUAAGCACCGGCUAACUCCGUG
rnacentral:rRNA from 1 species